UUUCCGUAGGUGGACCUGCGGAAGGAUCAUUACUGAGUGAGGGCCCCUCGGGGUCCAACCUCCCACCCGUGUUUAACGAACCUUGUUGCUUCGGCGGGCCCGCCUCACGGCCGCCGGGGGGCAUCUGCCCCCGGGCCCGCGCCCGCCGAAGCCACCUGUGAACGCUGUCUGAAGUAUGCAGUCUGAGACAAUUAUUAAAUUAAUUAAAACUUUCAACAACGGAUCUCUUGGUUCCG
rnacentral:misc_RNA from 1 species